CUCGGCUGGGCGCGGCAUGGAGGCGGCGCGGGACGUGGUGGGCUCGCUGCUGCGAUCUUUGGUAUCCAUGGGAGCAUCUGUGGGAGCGGUAACAAAACAGACCCUGUUCCCUCCUCUCAUGCCUGCAGGGAGACCUUUUCGUGUAUCAAAUGCCUCCAGAAGCAGCCGGAAAGGAAUUGUUGCAAGCAGUCUGCAAGAGCUAAUCAGCAAGACCUUAGAUGCCUUCCUUAUAUCUGCUAGAAUUAUUACUCUGGUUUUGGAGGAAGAUGGCACAGUUGUAGAAACAGAAGAGUUCUUUCAGUCCCUGGACGAUAAUACACACUUCAUGAUCCUAGAAGAAGGACAAAAAUGGACACAAACAAGAAAUGGAGUCACCCCUAUGAGACAAAAGAAGAAAAUGGGAGUAGCUAAUAUCACAUUUGAUCUGUACAAGCUGAACCCUAAAGAUUUUAUUGGCUGCUUAAAUGUGAAGGCCACUUUCUAUGAAAUCUACUCUGUGUCAUAUGAUAUCAAAUGUAUGGGAGCCAAAAGCAUAUUGCGGAAGGUGCUUCAGCUAAUAUCCCAUGCUGCACAAAUAACUGGACAAUUUCUUCUCUACACUGGAACUUACAUGUUGCAGCUGAUGGGUGAAUAUGAUGAAGGCGGCACAUGUACAAGACGAAAGCAGGAAUAGUGAGCACAGCUGCACUUCUAAUACUGGAUCCUUUUGCUUAAAGAUGUUAUUUUGCCCAGUUUUGAUUGUAAUGAUGUUUAAAGCAGGGGCUGUUUACUAAGGUGAACUGACCUUUUUUCCCCAUGUGGGAAUGCUUGUAGGCCUCAGCCAUAAAAUGUUUGGUGUUCAGACUCUUAACAGAAAAAGGUUGAAUGCCUAAUGUUUGAGAGUUGGGCAACUGGAGAGAGAACAAGUCUUUGCCCCAGCAACUCUAAAUGGAGAAUUGGUAUACUUGGAAGCAUGCAGGCUUUUGGAAAACAAACAGUGGUGGGGAUCUUGUGUCAAAAUGCAGACCCCUGUUGAAGGAGAAAAAAAAACGAACUACUGUUGUAGGGAUUUCUUGAGGUUUUUAUGUGCUGGCUUAUGACCAAUUUUAGGUAUAUGAUUAGAUGUAUUUUUGCUCAAGAACAAAAGAGUUAAGGAGAUAGCAGGUACAGGUAAAUGUGUCUUUGACAACAGAUGCUACCCAGGAAGAGAAACUCAGUAACAGAGAGAAUGAGUGGGACUGGGGAAAGAAAGCAGCAGGAGCAAAAGGGAAAGGAUCUCAAGAUGCCUGCCACACCUCUACUGAGACAAGAAUUGUUUCACUAUCAGCUGCAUCGAUUAGCCCUGUUCUGGGGUCCGAAGGCUGAAGAAAACCUAAUGCUCUAAAAGAGUAACAGGUGAACAGGAAGGAGCCAAGAAGCAUGGUUGCUGGUGUCCAUUCUGAUCUAUCAGCUGGGUUUGUUCACUUCAAAUGUCACUAAUACACAGAAAUAUUGCUCUCACUUUUAUCUGCAAAUUUCACCUUCAUAUGCUUAUUUGUGCCUUCCCUUUAAGAAUCUGACUUAGCUGAAGCUGUAUCUUUCAAAUCACUGUUGUGGUGAGAAGCAGCCUAAAGGCCAGUCUUAAAGGGACUGACAGACAAGUUUGCCAGGUCUCUUUCUGUUUAGUAAUGGUAUUACAAAAGAGUAGACAGGUAAGAAAGAAACCAUGUGUUUUUUUUCUUUUUUUCUUUUUUUUCUUUUUUUUUUUUUCUUUCCAUCCACUUCUGAGUGUUUGCUCUUUCUUAGUUUGGAGGAGAGGCAAGACUCCAGGCAAGGGAAGGGCUGGUUCUUACUAAUUUCUCCCAAGGAAGAAUGGCUGCAACUUGUAGCACUGUCAAGUUUCCUUUAAAAGAAAGCGCUAAAACUGCUCUGCAGCUACUGAGGAAAGAUUACAUUAAAAUGAAAGUUUUAUAAUUCAUGUUUAUUCUCUUCCCCUCCACAACACACUGAAAUAGUAACUGUUGGUCAAGGUCUUUCUAUCAAUAUCAAGGAGUAGCAUUUAACUGAUGCAGUGCAAGGGCCUUGUUACCAACUCUUUCAGCUUUUAAGGCCAUUUAUUCCAUUAAAACAAGCCUGUCUUUGGAAAGUAAACUCUGCAUGUUGCUCCUGGGAAUACAUAUGUUGGAAAUGGGAGUGCCAACAUUAAAAAAAAAAAAAAAAAAAAGUAUUGUUCAAUAUUGGAUUAGCUUGUAAAUUGCCUCUUCAAUAUCUGUAAUGCAAAAGCUUUUGUAAAUCUGGACUGCAGAUCUCUCAUUCCAGCCUCCUAUAGCUGGAGGGAAUUACUACUGAGCUAACACUCCAUAGUUUCCAGUGGCACUAUAUAAAAAUUUUAAAUCUGUAAGACUAACUCUAUAUGAAUUUGAAAUGUUUUCAAGCGGCUGCUUCUUUGAGAGCUUAAAACUUGAGCUGCUGAAGGUCAUCUGAGCUGCAAAGUCGCCAUCUCAAAGUAUCUCUGUGUUCCAAUUCAGAAUGCAAACAGCUGAACAAAGUAACUCAAAUUUGGAAAUUUCCAAAACACUUCUCUCAUUGUGCAGAAAUACCAAGUGUUUGAAAUUGCUCUAUUGCUACUGAAUCUGAAUUUUGCUACAGGCUUAGUAUUUGGGGGAUGAUAUAUGCUACUGUACAAACUUUGCCCCCCCCCCCCCCCAGAAAUAAAGUUUUGGCUUUGAGUCAAACUGGAGUGCAUAAUUCUCUGAAUUGGAGCCACUUUUUUUUUUUUUUUUUUUUUUGCAGCCUGCUGAAGAGAUGCAGCUUUCACUUCAACUAUACAUGGUACACAGAAAAGUACAUCUUCAGCAUUUUUUAGCUUCCAGAAAACCACAUACAAGUGGUGUGCACUAUCUGUUAAGAUACAGAUUUAAAGAAAAAAGGCUUUUAACUGCAGGUAUGCAGAGAUUAAGCUAGCUUUUCUACUUUAUUUCUUAAUUUGUUUUCCUCAUUUAAUCUGCACUUGUUGUUGCAGUCAAGGCUUGGUAGCACUGAAGUGUGUGUCAAAGGUGUGAAACAUGUUUACUGCCUCCCCUUGCAUUAGCCAUUUUGCCUGUUGCUUUGUAUCACUUACUGACAAUCCAGUGCACCAAGUCAUACUCUCUAGUUACCAAAAAAGGAAUUUUCACUGAAGUACUCGAUCUUGUUGACUCAGGCACUAUUCAUGAGCUUCAGGCAAAACAAAGCUGCUCUCUUUGUAACUAGAAUGAAGAAUCUACUAACUUUUUUUCUUUCUUUGUGCAUGUGAUUCAGGAUUUAUCAUUACUUCAUUUCCUUCCUUUUGUAAACACAUGAAGCUGUUGCUUUCUUAAACCUUUCUAAUUUUUUCAGAAGAAAUGGGGUUACAAACCUUUCUCUCUAGAGGGAGAGGAUAACUCCCUGCAGAGAAGGGAGUGCCUAAAAGGAAAAUGGGACUUUAGGCUAGAAGAUUUUUUUUAGUAUAGAGUGCAGAGAGGCAGGUGUCUGAAAAUUAGGAAAUGUUGGUAAUUCUCAAUAGUACUGUGAAGAUAAAUACAAUAUGUGUGAUCAUUUGUAACUGACUGGAACUAUAAAUCAUUUCAGCAUACUUCUUCCUGAGAUAGCACUUGAAUUAAAGGCACAAGCUUCUUUUAAAAAGUGUUUAAAAUUGAAGUACUAAGUAUAUUUUUGAUUUAAUACCUCUGGUUUUACUGGAAAUACUAUCAUAAUUAACAUGUCACUUUAGCUGUUUAUUAAUAAGUAAUCCUUAUGAGGUUUAAGUAUUUAUCAUUUUGUUUUUAUCUUACCCGGUUAUAUAUCCAGUUAAAAUAUUUAUGAAUAUUGUUGUUUUCCUAAGGGGAAAGAUGGUGUUUUACCCCUUCACAGCUUUCAAGUCCACUAGUUUAACUUGCUAUGACAUUAAGAUGAGUAGGAAUUAUAAUGUGUCAGUGAUGGCAAAAUUUUCUGAUACGUAGUGCCAAUUUUAAGAAAUACCAUCCAUGAAUAAAUAUAUUCAAAUAGUGGCUUUGGA